AUAGUUGUAUCAAAACAAUGUAAAUUGUGAUUGACUCAAUGACUCAUCAAAUCAUAACCUGAUAGACCUACCAUGUAUCAAGACCACAUAUCUUGUACUGUGAAGGAGAACCUUCACAUUUGGCUCACCCACAUUUGUGGUAAUGUGUUUCAUUACUAUUACACAGGCAUAAAGAAAAAACUGGUAGCACUCGCCAACAAAAAGGAAAAUCAGGUCCUGCAGGGCUGGAUUCGGGCGAUCCUCAAUCACUUUUGGUUCUCAUGCUCAUCUUGUGGUGAGUGCUGAGGUAAUAACCCCAAUGCAUAAAGAAUGUAUAAAGAUUGCACUGAAAUCCAGUCAGAAGAUUAUCAAAUAGUCUUGAAAUGUAAUAUAUUCUGUAGGAACUGAAGCGACGGUGGACCUCAGUCCUCCACCACAUCUGUGGGGAGCACACAUGGGAGCAAGAUGGAAGAAAGUGGGCAUGCCCUCACCCUGCUCUCAACCCAGAUCAGCAAAGGACAAAGCGAUGGCUCCAGCCAGAGUCUCAAGUGUUCAAGUCUUUACGGAAUAUUGUUGAAGAUAAAGACUUCUGAAAGACCUUGAGCAGAUGACUCGCUUCAAACAUACAGGAUCUUUGGAGGUGUACCACAACGUUAUGCUAAAAUAUCUGCGAAACGACUGCAUUUUCGGUACGACACCAUGGUAGCCCGAACACAACUAGCCAUCCUGGACAACAAUUACAAUGUCGGCCGACAGCAGACAGAGACUUCUGAAGGACUUCCAAGAUACAGUAUGGUGUUCCCAAAACAGAGCAAGGAAUGGGUAGCCAAGAAGAUCUAUGAGCCUACUAGUCAGUACUUCACGCAACACCUUGUGAAACUCGUGUUGGAGAGAAGGGAGGAAAGAACACGGAAGACAUUCCACAUGUCCAGCGGCCUGCAAACAUUGCCACUAAGGAGAGACCC
ensembl:lncRNA